CGGAAAGGUAGAGCAAAGCAUCCAAUUCCAGCCCUGCUUACUUGAAAAGAAUUGCUUGGGCUUCCUUUCCUGCCUUCUCCUACGGGCUUCCUGAUACAGCAACGCCACUCUGGAAAUGAAGGUGAAACACAAGAACACAACAGGGGUGUGGAGGGGGCAGGGGUGUAUCUCCUGGAAUGAUUACAGAACACAAACCUGCCCCCUCAGCACAGACCAGCCCAGAAAGUUAAAUAAGAAGUAAAUAAUUUUCGGGGUGCCGGAGUGGCUCCGGCAGUUAAGCAUCUGACUCUUAAUUUCGGCCCAGGUCGUAUCUCAGGGUUGUGAGAUGGAGCCCCAUGUUGGACCCACCUUGAGAUUCUCUCUCCCUCUCUCACUGCCCCCUCACCCCCCUCAAAAAAAAAAAAACCCAAAAGGCAAAGGAGCUAAUAAUGGUCAAUUCAAAGAAAAUGAAAUGUUAAUCUAUGAAGAAAAAUCAAACCUUACUCAUAAGAAGGAAAAUGAAAAUGAUAUAUUAUUUCUCACUAUCAGAAAAAGACCAGCAGUCAGAGAUCCUUUUGGCCAGGGAGAAAAAGGCACUGAUAAUAUUUAACUAAAGUAUUAAAAUUCAUGUUUCCCCCAGAAAUUCUAGUUCCACAUGUGCAAAAUCAGGAUAUAAAGGGUCAUUCAUAAUUGCCAAUAUUUGCGAUAGCAAAAUACUGGGAAAAUUGCCAACAGGAAACCGGUGAAAUUACAGGAUUACAUCUACAACUGAGUAUUAAAAAUCAUAAAAAUGAAGAAGACAAUGCUUUAAGUUAAGUGUGGAACAUUACCAAAGACACACUGUUGGGAGGCCUGGGUGGCUCAGUGGGUUAAAGCCGCUGCCUUCAGCUCAGGUCAUGAUCUCAGGGUCCUGGGAUCAAGCCCCAUAUCAGGCUCUCUGCUCAGCAGGGAGCCUGCUUCCCCCUCCCCCUCUGCUGCCUCUCUGCCUACUUGUGAUCUCUCUCUCUGUCAAAUAAAU
rnacentral:lncRNA from 1 species